rnacentral:rRNA from 1 species
GAUGAACGCUGGCGGCGUGCCUAAUACAUGCAAGUCGAGCGAACGGACGAGAAGCUUGCUUCUCUGAUGUUAGCGGCGGACGGGUGAGUAACACGUGGAUAACCUACCUAUAAGACUGGGAUAACUUCGGGAAACCGUAGCUAAUACCGGAUAAUAUUUUGAACCGCAUGGUUCAAAAGUGAAAGACGGUCUUGCUGUCACUUAUAGAUGGAUCCGCGCUGCAUUAGCUAGUUGGUAAGGUAACGGCUUACCAAGGCAACGAUGCAUAGCCGACCUGAGAGGGUGAUCGGCCACACUGGAACUGAGACACGGUCCAGACUCCUACGGGAGGCAGCAGUAGGGAAUCUUCCGCAAUGGGCGAAAGCCUGACGGAGCAACGCCGCGUGAGUGAUGAAGGUCUUCGGAUCGUAAAACUUUGUUAUUAGGGAAGAACAUAUGUGUAAGUAACUGUGCACAUCUUGACGGUACCUAAUCAGAAAGCCACGGCUAACUACGUG